UGCAGUCGAGCGGAGACAGGUAGCUUGCUGCUGAUCUUAUGGGCAGAGGGGUGAGUAAUGCUUAUGAAUCUGCCUAUUAUUGGGGGACAACAUUUCGAAAGGAAUGCUUAUACCGCUAACGUCCUACAGGAGAAAGCAGGGGAUCGUCAGACCUUGCCCUAAUACAUGAGCCUGAGUCGGAUUAGCUUUUUGGUGGGGUAAAGGCCUACCAAGGCCACGAUCUGUAUCGGGUCUGAGACGAUGAUCCUCCUCACUGGGACUGAAACUGAGCCCAGACUCCUACUGCAGGCGGCAGUGGGGAAGAUUGGACUAUGGGCGCGAGCCUGAUCCAGCCAUGCCCCUUGUGUGAGGAAGGCCAUAGGGUUGUAAAGCACUUUAAGCGAGGAUGAGGCUACUUUACUUCAUACCUAUACAUAGUGGACGUUACUCGCCCAAUAAACUCCGGCUAACUCUGUGCCAUCACCCGCGGUAAUACAGAGGGUGCGGGCGUUAAUCUGAU
rnacentral:rRNA from 1 species